AUUGGAUUGAGAACAACGUACAAACCUUAUCGAUAAACAAUUGGAGGGCAAGUCUGGUGCCAGCAGCCGCGGUAAUUCCAGCUCCAAUAGCGUAUAUUAACGUUGUUGCAGUUAAAAAGCUCGUAGUUGAAAUGAAGGGUAGUUGUGUAAUGAAUACAUUCGUGUAUUUUGUUAUUCAACUACCCUCCUUCUAAAUUCGAUAUAUGAGUAUUAAUUUACUUGUAUAUGGUUUUAGACGUUUACUGUGAGAAAAUUAGAGUGUUCAAAGCAGGCAUUUGCUUGAAUAUAUUAGCAUGGAAUAAUCAUGUAUGAUUUUCAUGAUGUAUUUGAUUGGUUUGGUUCAUGAGAAUAAGAUUAAAAGGGACAGUUGGGGGUAUUCAUAUUCAAUAGUCAGAGGUGAAAUUCUCGGAUUUAUGGAAGAUGAACAAGUGCGAAAGCA
rnacentral:rRNA from 1 species